GAUGAACGCUGGCGGCGUGCCUAAUACAUGCAAGUCGAGCGAACAGACGAGGAGCUCGCUCCUCUGACGUUAGCGGCGGACGGGUGAGUAACACGUGGAUAACCUACCUAUAAGACUGGGAUAACUUCGGGAAACCGGAGCUAAUACCGGAUAACAUGUUGAACCGCAUGGUUCAACAGUGAAAGACGGUCUUGCUGUCACUUAUAGAUGGAUCCGCGCCGCAUUAGCUAGUUGGUAAGGUAACGGCUUACCAAGGCAACGAUGCGUAGCCGACCUGAGAGGGUGAUCGGCCACACUGGAACUGAGACACGGUCCAGACUCCUACGGGAGGCAGCAGUAGGGAAUCUUCCGCAAUGGGCGAAAGCCUGACGGAGCCACGCCGCGUGAGUGAAGAAGGUCUUCGGAUCGUAAACCUCUGUUAUUAGGGAAGAACAAAUGUGUAAGUAACUAUGCACGUCUUGACGGUACCUAAUCAGAAAGCCACGGCUAACUACGUG
rnacentral:rRNA from 1 species